rnacentral:lncRNA from 1 species
AGAGAGUAAGAAUUAGAAGUAGGUAAAUAUUAUUUUAAUAUAUAUAAAAGAAGGGUGAGAAAUACAGAGUAAUGGCCCAUGCCCCAUACUCGAAAGGACCCAUUCUGAGAACCAGCACCUAACAAUUUCACCCCUUUUAUGAUACACAUUCAUUAUUCCUUAUCACCAUAUUGCAGAUGAUUGAUUACAAUUUCUGAACAGACUCGAAUAAGAAAUCAUGAAAUUUUUUGCUGUUUUUGUUUUCUUAUCUCAGUACUGCAAUAUAUCUGCAGAAGCCAUGAUAGGGUGGUUCAGAUACCCCAUGUUCAUGGGGUUGAAGAAGGUGGUGUUAUUGGUGGUUGGUUCAACGAAGGUGGUGCUGCCAAAACCCGCAUUUAGGACUUCGAUGAUCUCGUUCAGAGACUCUAACCUGUGGCUCAGCUCACCCACCUGAGCCCUGAGCACCGAGUUCUCAGCCUCAACGCUCAAGAACUGCUGCGUGGUGAUGUUGACGGUGGUCAGUAUCUGCUGAUUCUCCUUUCUCAGCUGAGCCACUUGGGUAACCAGAUCGUCCAAGUGCUUCUGCUUCCUCAUGCGAGAUCGCCGUGCAGAUUCGCGAUUCGAUAUCAUUCUCUUCCUCUUUCUCUGAUCCAUUACCGCUUGCAAGUCCUCCUCAGAGCCCGAGUUCUGAAGCAGAGAGGAUGAACCCGAACAUGUUCCACUUGAGGAAGCCAUGGUAUGAGACACAGGACAACACAACACAACACAAUACAAUACAAUACAACACAACCCUUCUCAGUUAACACAGUUCGCAGGACCCAGACACUAGACACGAACAAACUCUGAAAAUUAUUACUUUAUGACGACGACGAAGACGAUAAUGAUAAUGAAAAUAGAAAUAUAGCAGUAGAUAUUAUAGAUUUAUAUGAUAUAUAGUAAGUGAUAUAGUGAGGAAGAGUUAGAAAUCAUGAAACGUAGUACAACCAAUAGAGGAAGGCAACUGAGAAGGAUUGAACUAAAUGGGUCCUGCGCCUAACAGUGGAAUUGAUCAUACACCCGGAAAAGAAGAGCUCACUGAGAAUCGAAUACAUGAAUCUCAAACAUCAACAACAAGAUGUUGGACAUUUAAUUUGCGCUUCUAAUAUCUACUUCCUGGAGAGGAGAAGGAAAAAAUUGAGUCAAAAUUCUCCAACCCAAUUUCGUAAAGUUUCAAACUUUGGUGCUGAAAAAUGGAAAGGGGUGAGAUUUGUUAUGUGGGGUUUGGGAUGAUGAACAUGGUGAGGUUGAAGAGAAGGUGUUUGAUAGAAAGUCAGUGUGAGAUGUGGAAGAAAGAGAAAUAUCUAUAUAUGUGUGUCUGGGUAGCGAUAUGUGUAGAGUGUGAUGGGAAAGAGGGAGAGAGAGGAAGAGGAGUGUAUGUGAAUGAAGGGAGGAAUUUAUAGAAGGGAAAAAGGCAUCAAGUUGGUGAAAAUAAUUAUUAAUUAUGAAAUCCUAGAGAAGGAAGAAAGAAAGAAGCAAAGUAGGGUGUAAUUUACUUUGGGAUCACUUCAUGAGAAAACAAGUUGAAAAGCUUGAAUUUAUUAGAAAAAAGUGUGAGAGUGAUGAUUUUAAUGGUUGAUUAAAGAGAUUGGUGGAAGGUGAGAAGUAAAAUUGUAACAGUGUAGGAGAGAAGAAGAAGAAGACGCCACAAGUGUCCAGAGAUACUACAGCUGGGAACCAACAAUCACAGAAAAUGAUGAUCACAGUUUGAGAUACAUCCAAAACUGGCAUCACACUCUCACUCCAACACAUUACUGUUUCAGGAACUUCUCUAUGUCUACGUAUCCAUUACUACUACCAUCAAACCUCUAUCUUUUACUUCAAAUACAAUCACAUAAUGUAAUUAAGAUGUAAAACUAAUCAUAUUCUUUUCUUAUAUAAUAUAUAAAAUGAUAGUCAGACAACAAUUUUUUAUAUUAUUUUAAUAUUAUUUAUAUCUUAUUUAUUAUUAAUUUAUAAUGAUAUUCAUAAUUAUUAUUAUUGAUUAUAAAAUAAUUUUGAAUAUAUAUAUAAUUUGUUAAUACUUAUAUAAAUUAUACAAUAUUAUCGUCUUUCAAUAAUCAAACGGUCAAUACAUCUUGAUUUAAUGUGAAACAUAUAAUUUAUUAAACAUUCAAACCAUAGAUAAAAUUAGUAAUAAAAAUAAUUAUGAUAAUUUUAAUUUUAAUCAUUAUAAAAUUAAACGAUAUUCAAAUUAAUACUAAUAUGAAGUCCAUUAAAAAAUUCACAAUAUAUAAUUGAUUGCUUUUAUUAGUCGUGUAUUACAAAAAUAUUUAAACAAAUACUAAUUUUCAUCAAAAUGUUUUCUACAUAUAAAUUUUGACAUUAUUUAUUUAAAAAUAAUCUCAUAAACCGAAACAUAAAUAUUUACAAUAUACAUAAAAAAAAAUAUUACUUUUGUAAUUUUGUAUAAUUCUUUUAAAUUUGAUUAAAGAAAAACAAAAUCCGUUUCUGAUAUAUACACCACUGAUAGAGUAUAAAAUCAAUUAUAUAAUUUUUUAUACCAUUUAACUAUUAUGUAUGUCAUCACAUUAGUUAAUACGGUUAUCUGUAUUCUUAGUUUUACCGAGAACUACGAAAAAGGAGAGAGUGUAAUCUACUCGCUUAAAGAAUAGUACAAAAGAAAUUAUGAAGUAUGUUACACUUAUCAUCGUUUAGUUAAUUAUCACCUUCUUAUUAAUCAAAUAUAACUAAUUACACCAUUUAUAAAUCUAACUAAUAUUGUCAUUUUAUGUAUUUUAUUUUAUUAUUUAUAUAGAUCCGAAAAAGAAUUAUAAUUUUUAAAACUUAUUUUAAACCACAAAGAGAUAUUGUUCUAGAGAAGCAUAUAUUUACUUGAAUGAUAUUCUUUAGGACGAAAUAAUGUGCUAAGGAAUAAAUUUUCUUUCUCUAAUUUAAGCAUUUUUUUUUAAUUUCAAAUAAAGUAAAAUGAUUAAUCACAACAAAGUUUCCCUUUUUUUAAUUUAGUAAAAUGAAAAAUAUUUAAAUUUUAAAAUAAUAUUAUCAAAAAAAGUUAUAUAAGCUGUUGAAACGAGAGGAAAUUAAUCGAUAUAUAAAAUUAAGUCAAAUAAAUGAUUUUCAACAUUAUAUAUUAAAUUCUUUAUUUUAAAAGUCCAAAUUUAAAGAAAAAUGGUUUCAAAUGGAAAAUAUAAUAUUUAAAAUACGAAAAGAGAUAAUUUAUUUUGAGAAAGAAUAAUUGCAAGGGCAUUAUUUCUAAUAAUAAAUAUUUAUCAUGUAAAAUGGAAAUGUCUUAUAUUUUACAUAAAAUAUACUUGUUUUAUUUGUUUGCAUGACUAAUUCAAUUUGGUGAAGAUAACAUUGAUGUAACGACAUGUGAUUAUGUGCAACAUAAAUUAUUUUAGUUGACAUUGCUUGAACAAAGUAACUUAUUUUAUAUUUUUGAGUGAAUUUGUGGUCCCUCAUAGAGUGAAAACCUCUUUCACAACAUAAUCAUAUGUCUGACCAAUUAAAUGAUCCUCCACUUUUUCUAGUGCUCGUGAGUCCUACGGAAAAACAUUUCAAAAAUGGUAUGUUUAACUUUAAUAAAUAAUAUAUAUAUAUAUAUAUAUAUAUAUAUAUAUAUAUAUAUAUAAUAUUUAUUAGUAAUUUGAGAUUACUUAAAAAAAAAUAAUUUUGAUUUAAACUUUUGAUUAUUUGAAAAUUGAUUUUUUCAUAAAUACUUUAAUUGUUUAAAAAAUAUUAUAUGAAGUUUUCUUAUAAAGUAUAUUUAUGUAAUAGGUGUUGAAAAUGUUUAAUUUUUAUUCAAAUUCUAACUGAUUUGUUUCUUUUUCAUCAUUUCAAAAGAUCUCUUAUUAAUAGAAUUGAUGAGUAUGUAAAUUUAUGUCUAUUAUUAUUUUAUUUAAUGUGAAAUUUUGUUUAUAUUCAACCAUAGAUAAUUAGAUUUAGAGCUGUCAAAACGAGUAAUCCGACCCGACCUACCACGAGUUGGUCACUUAGUGAAUCAACCCAACCCGACUCAUUUAUUAGCGAGCAAGAAAUAUCUGAACCUAACUCAACCCACCACGGGUUGGUGGGUAAACGGGUUGGCUCACUAGCCCAUUUAAUUAGUUUUUUUAAAAUAAAAUAAAAAAUUACAAAUUUUUUAUAUUCAAAUUUAAACAAAUUUCACUCCCAAAAAUGAUAUUAAAGUGAAGACAAUUCAAAAUAAUAAUAAAAAGUAAAUAUUAUUCAAAUGUCACAAAAAAACAUACACAAAAAAAACUGCUCCUUGUAAAAUUUUAGUGAAAGUCACAACACCGUAAAUGAGAGCAAGUUUCGUGAGAGUGAUAUGUGAGAGCAAAUGUUACGUUUUUGGUAUACACAGUGAGUGAGUGAAGAGAGUACUUUACUUUUUAGGGUUUCAUAAAUAAAAUAAUAAAUUAAAAAAAUAAAAUUAGAUAGGUGGGUUGGCGGGUCAACCCGGCCCACCACGGGUUUAACCCGCACGAACCAAGUUUAAAUGAGUCGGGUUGAAAUAAAAUAAAUUCAAUUUUUUCAAACCCAACCCGAUCCAAACCCGUUAUAAACCGGAUUGACUUGUAGAUUGUGACAUGUUUUGACGGCUCUAAUUAGAUUCAAGUAAAAGAUGGCUAAAAACAAUGAAAUGGAAAGUAAUUUGUGUGGUAGAAUAAAAGAGAAAGAAAGUUAAUAAAAAAACAUACAAAAGAUUAUCUUUCAUUGAUUUUGUAUAAUGGUAACAAAAUGUCGAAUCUAUUGUAUCUUAAAUUUAUCGAAUAAAAUCGUUAAGAAAAUUUCUAUAAAUAUUAUUCAUUUUAAAAAUAAAAAUAAAAAAUAAAUUCCUACUUAAAUAAUUAAGUACUGAAAAAAAAAAUAACUUUUUCCCCCUUUACUUUUGUAUUUUUCCUAAAUCAAAUAUUACGUGAGUGUAAGAAUCUAUCCAAAUCAUAUUAGACAAUUGCCACUACCAUCAGUUUUGGAAUGUACAACUAUACAAUAAUAGUACGAAAAUUGGUGACAUUAUGUACCACAAAUCUCACCAAAUAGUUGAACGAACAGUUCAAUUUAAAAACAAAUCAACAUCGCAUUACAAAAUAUCACUCAGUAAGUAUGCUUCAACUUCAAAGCAGACAUUUUUAUGUUGUGAAUUCUACGUCUACGUAUUCCCAUAUACAGUACUAGGAAUAUAAUUUAAUAUUUAAAGUAUUAUUAAAAAAAAUUAAAAUGAUAUUUUCGUUAUCAUUUUAUUUCGGAAAAUUACACAAGCCGGGGCUGCUCUUUUUGUUAAUAAAAUAUUUUAAUCAUUAUUCCUUUAAAAUUUUAUAUUAAUUAAAACAAUACCGAUUACAAUAUAUAACACGAGAAAUGCUGAAUUUAUCGCAUUUAAUAUUUGAUAAAAUAUUCUUAAUUUUCACAUUUAAUCUCAUUAAUCUAAAAUACUGAAGUUCAAUUAGACUUAAUUUCAUUACUUUAAGAACGUACCAGUGGUCCAAAUUUGAAUCUCUCAACAAAAUUUCAACAUUAUAUUUUCUCAAACUAUUUAUGUCAAGAUUGUUUUAAAAAAAGUGUGAUUAAUUUUCAUUUUUAAUCAUAUUAUAAAAAUACUGGCCAGAAUCGGUUAACUAUUAAUAAAAAGGAUUAAAUAUGUUUUUAAUCUGGGACGAUUUUGGUUUUAAUUUCUUUUUUAAACUAAGGUAUAAUUUAGUCCUUCAACUUUAUAAAAUUCUGGUUUUAGUCUUUUUUAUCAAUUUUUGUUAAUUUUAUUUGUUAUUUCAAGCACGUUUCAUUAUAGCAUUUGGAUUAUUUACACUUUUGACACAUUUUUGUUUCAAUGUUAAUUGAGAAACACAUUUAAAAUAGCAAAUAAAGUUAAAAAAAUUUCAUAAGAAAAACUAAAAACAGUUUUCUAAAAUUGAAAGACUAUUUUAGUUUCAAAGAAGGAUUAAAACCAAAAUAUCCAGAACUAAAAACAUUAUAGUGUACCGAUUAAAGUGGCAUACACGCGAGUGCAGAACUGUUGAUGGUGCGCGUGACACUUGCUUCCAUAUUCUUGUCUGGUGGGCACGAAAUGUCGUUGUCGCCCACACGCAAGAGGGGGCGCUUGCACAACACAGACGGUAGGAGUGUGGCGAGUGGCGAAAACGUGCCACUAAGUAGAGUGUAGAAUCUAGACUAGGUAAUGUUCUGACACGAGUCACUUUUUCAAUUCAGAAAAUUAUUAAUAAUUAAUUAAAAUAUAAAAUACUACAACCGAGAUGGGAUGUGGCCUUGGUUGGUGUGCCCUACCAAUUCAAUCUCGCUUUUCAGAUCUGGGCCCCACCACCCUCUCAUCAAUCUGUUUUUCCAAUGUUACCCUUUUACCUUAUAAUUGUUUUUGCCAGCAUUAAAUAUGUUUUUACUUCUUAUAUUUUAAGACGAUUUUGGUUGUAGUUUCUCUUUCAAACUAAGGUACAAUUUAGUUCUUUAAUUUUAGAAAAUUUUAGUUUUAAUUAUUUUUACCAAAUUUUUUUAACUUUAUUUGCUUUUUCAAAAUCGCUCCAAAAUAUAUGGACUAAAAACAUAUUUAAUCUCAAUUUAUUUUAAUCUAAAAUAUAAUUAUCAUUAAUUAAAUAAAUGGUGAAACAUGUCUUUUUUUUUUAAAUUAAAAUGAAUAUUAGACAUUAUAUAUAUAUAUAUAUGAUUUUAAUAUAAUUAAGUCUCAAAAUUUUAAAAAAUGUAUAUAAUGUUUUUAAUUCAACUUAGUUAAAUUUUUUAGAUGUGUUAAAUGAUAUUUGAACUUUUUACUGUAUUCAGUACCGUGUGUUCGACAUUUUUUUUUUUAAAUAGUUAAAUUAAAAUGGCUACAUUUGUUAUGUUUUAAAUUUAAAAAUUAAAAUAUACUAAAAUUUAAAAAAGAAACAUAACUUGAAUUUACAUUCAAAUUUAAAAAUUAAAAACAUAUUUAAUUUUUUAUUAAAAUUAAACAAAUUCUUAUUUAAUUUCAAACACGUUAUAAGAUUUCUGUCACUACAAUAAAAGCUUUAUUCCGAAAAAUAAAUUAGGUAGAGGCCGUUUGAGUAAACAUUUUGUUAAAAUAUAUUAUUUAAGAAAAUAAAACAUCCAAAUGAUGCAUGCCAUUUUCAGUUUACAAUAUGUUUUCUAAAUUAGAUAUACAUGUACUUAAUAAUGUUGGAGACACACCUGAAUAUAUACUAAAUUAUUAUGAACAUGUCGACCGCAUGUAAUUCUUAUCUUUCUAUUUUACUUUGUAAGAAAAAUUCAAUAAUCAUAUUCUAUACUUUGAAGUAAAGGAAAAACAACAUUUGACUUCAAAUAAAUAACAAUCUAAUUGUCACAAGCCUUAUACAAAACAUGUAGUAGUAUAUAAAUAAACUCUUACAUUGAUAAAACAAUAAAUAUAUAUAAAAUUAUGUAUAUAAGACAGUUUUAUUAAUAACAGAUCUUUUUUAAAUACUACUAAAAAUAAAUUCAAAUUUGUGAGAAUUUAAUUUAAAACGAACAAUAUUUUAUUAAUAGGAAAAAUCUAUACAUUUUAUUGUCAAAAUUGAUCACCUGACUCGAUUCGGUUUAGUUCAUCAUUGGUUGAUUACUUAGUGAAUCAACAUAAUUCGGUUCAUUUAUUAGUGAGUCAGAAAAAUUUGAAUUCGGUUCAGUCUAUCACGAGUUUGUGGGUUAAACAAGUUAGUUUACUGAUUAUUUAAUUACAAUCUUUUUAAAUAAAAAAUAACAAAUUUUUCUAAAUUUUCAUAAGAUAAGAAAUUAAUAAAAUAAAAUUAGGUGAAUUGAUCAGCCAAUUCGACUCACACUAAAUUCAAUCCUGAAAAAUUGAAUUUAAAUAAACUAAAUUAAAAAUUAAACCACAUAAAAAAAAUAUUUUUUCAAAUCUAACUUAAACCGAACUUGUGUAAAUCAAAGAACUUCGUAGAUGAAAUUGAUUUACAGGUCGUAAUCUAUUUUCACAGCUAUAAUAUAUUGUAAACCUCGUUGUAUUUGAUGGAGAUAGGUUUUUCCCUACAAGAAGAUUAUGAAAUUGAACUCUGUUGAUGUCUUUCCAUAAUUUUCUUCCAUGGGUUGUUCCUGUUGUUUCUUUUUAUUUCCACCACUGAGAUCUUGGGUCUCUUGUACACGUCAAUAUUAAUUCUUCGUGUGAUUUCAACUUUCUAGAACAUCAAUGAUGUAAUAACAGUUGCAAUGAUAUUUGUAUGGUGACCAUGAAAAAUUUCCUUUUUAAUUAUUAUUAAUGGAUGGUCAAACAGCACAGUGCAUAGAUUUUAAUCUGCUAAGAGCCAUAUGAAUAUAGGAUGUUAAGGACCAUGGCUUUGGUAAUUGAAAAGGUAAAAAGGUAGAAAGUGGACAAAGACACAGAAGAAAGAAAGAGAAAAUCUUGGCUUUCAGUGUCUGACGAAUUGCAAUUGCAACCACCCAUAUGUGUGUAUGUUUAUGCAUGCUUUUCUUAUCAGUGAAGGCAAUGUUAAAAAUAUCAUUGCAUUUAAUGUACUGCACCAACCAAAAAAUAAAUGUUCAGGACAAUUUCUCUAGAAAACGACAAUUCUAUGUUGUCGACAACGAUGUUAUGGUUAUGGUCACUCUCUACGAUGCUUUCUAUCAAUUAUGCACAAUUUUCGCUCUUUCAAUUUCAAUAACGUAUUGCCAAAUCCUAGUCCCUUUCUCAUUCUGUGGACUUUUUCCCUCAAUAGUUUAUACAUUAAACAAUUAUUAUGAUAAAUAUUUAUGGUAACAAAUCAAUUUUAGGGUUAAAUAUCGUUUCAAUCCUUAUACUUUGAUGUAAUUUUGGUUUUAGUCUCUCUUUCAAACUAAAUUACAAUUUAGUCCUUCAACUUUAGAAAACUCUGGUUUUAGUCAUUUUUAUCAAUUUUUUUUAACUUUAUUUGUUCUUUCAAGCAUCUUUUAUUAUAGCAUUUGGAUUGUUUACACUAUUUGACACAUUUUUGCUUCAAUAUUAACUGAGAAACGUGUUUGAAACAACAAAUAAAGUUAAAAAAAUUUGGUAAAAAGGACUAAAACCAGAGUUUUUUAAAGUUGAAAGAUUAAAUUGUACCUUAGUUUUCAAGAGGGACUAAAACCAAAAUCGUCCCAAAAUAUAGGGACUAAAAACAUAUUUAACCCUAAAUUUUAUAUUUAACUUUACAAAAUUUUAUAAUUUCAAAAAUUUGAAAUCACUCUCUAUCCAUAUCUUUAAACAAUAAAUUAAUUAUUCUUUUAUCUAUAUAUAAUAUUUUACCUUUUAUUUUUAUCCAACACGAGACUUCACUUUAAUUUCUAACAAUUUCGUGUACGAGACUGUAAAUAAAUGAAAGGUCUAAUAGUGACCUAAUGGUAAAUAGAAUAACAUAUUUAAUAAAUACAAAAUUUACUAUAAUAAAAUACAUGAAAAAUUGAAUUUUAAACUUAAUCUAACUUUACAAAAUCAAUUUAUAAAUAGUAAAAUAUCUUAUUUUUAAUCAAUGAAAAUUCUAACCAUUUAUAUAAAUAAUAUGAUUUUCUUUAACUUAUAAUUUUAUUUUCGACAAAUCUUAUUCUAAAUUAGGAUAGAAAAGAAAUGGGCUGAAAAAUAGCUUUAUUUUUUUUAAUUAUUAAAAAAAAGGAAGAAGAAAAUUUUGAAAAGAACAUUGUAAAAAGUAAACGUUCAGAAUUUGAUUGUCUAAGUAUUGAAUUCUGACCUUAAAAAAUACAUACUAUCUAUAAAAAUAGUAUUUGGGUGAAGAAAAUUAUAUAUUUCUUCCUGGUACAUUAUAACACAAAAAAGGUAGUUCCUUCGUGCACUUCUAUGUAUUUCUUCCUGCACCUGCAUAAUUUAUUUAUUUUUUCAUUUCAUUGUACAAUUUCGAGGUAAUUUUUUGACUUUUGAUGGUGUAAUUCGGAAGUAAAAAAAAAAAAAUCCGCAUCAUAAUAUCUGAAAUUUAUUUUAAAUAGUUUUCAUAUUUGAAAGAUAACAAUGACUUCCAAAAUGUAUAAUUUGAAAGUUUUUUUUUUUUUUUGAGAAAAAUAACUGUCUAAUUUACAUUAUCCAGAAGUCAUUUGGUUUAUGGAUUACACAAUAUUGUGAAAUUCAAACUGUUAUGUAAAAUCGAAUUGCAAUUACCCAUUUUGAAGUAAUGUUAAAGAUAUAUAGUUAAUAAUUAUAAAUUAUAUGAUUUUUUACAUCACUAUUACGAAAAAUAUUGAAUUUUUAUCAUAUAUGAUAUUUUACAGUGGAUAGAAGUUUUACGAUGUAUUUUCAUAACUUGUUUUUAAUCAACCUUUACGUGACAUCGUUAAAGUAUUUGAGUUAAAAAUAAUAAUAGAUUUUAAUUAUAUGUCAUGCAAGAGAGAUAAACUUAAAUUACACAGUCCACCUUCUUCAAAUAAUUUUCCUAACAAGCUUUUUCUUAUAUUAUAUAUUUAAAAUAUCUGUGGAAAAUAUUUAUUAAGAGAUAAAAUUAGGAUUUAAAAGUAAUUUAAUAAUAUAAAAACUGUUAUUAAAUUAAGAUUUUUCAAUGUUAUAAAUAAGUUUACUGAGAUAUCCGAAGGUGUGCUAAUGGAAGGGACCUCCCAUGAUAGUAGAUUGCCCAAAAUUAAUAUUUAAUUUUGAGGCCCAAUUAGGAACCCAUUGGGCUAUCUGGUUGGAUAUCGCAGUUACAAUAAAUUUAGGGGAGUUACACCCUGUACCUCCCCGGUUGCAACCCCCACCCCCCCAAUUUUUUUGAACUUUUUUUUAAAUACAAAAUUAACCUUUAUGUUUUUUUUUUUACCCAUUUACCCCUAUUUAACCUACCUACAGUAACCCUCCUCUUUUACCCCUCUUUUACAGUAUGAGAGAUUCUCUUCGUAUUCCCCACCCCCACCCCACCAUUUUGAAACCUCCCUCUUCCAAACUCUGCAACUCUCCCAUUCUCUCACUCUGCCACUUCGUAUUCUCACUUUCCCACUCCUCUCUGUUUGUGCGGCUGUUGUGCGGUGGGGUUGUGGUUGCUGCUCUGGUGCGGCGGCGCAGAGGGUGUUGUGCGGCGGUGUUGCGGCGGUGCAAGGCGUCGACAGGUUAGUUUCUUAUAAUUUUUUUUUUUUUAAACGUAUGCAAUGUGUAGUGUAGGAUUGGGUAUGGUUGGUGUUUCUGUUUGUUCUGUCAUCUCUGUUUGUGUGCAUUUGGUUGGUGUUUUUGUUUCAGUUUUUUCAUCUCUGUGUGUGCAUUGAGGAAGAAGACAGGCACGAAACGAAUGUUGUUAUCCGUCCACGGAUGUCGACAUCCGUUACAUAUUUUUAUUUUUUAAUUUAUUUUAUAAAUAAUUAUAUUUUAAUUAUUUUAACUUUUUGGAGCAUUUGGUAUAUAUAUACCUGAAGCUGAGACUCAAGGAAAUGAAUAAUGGUGGCAGGGAUGAUGCCCCUGAUGCCACCACCAUCGAUGCUAAGAAUGGUGACUAAGUUUCCAUAAGUUGGAGGCUGAAUUUGUUCAACGGAUGACUCUGAUCUCUCCAUCUCUCUGAAUAAAGANACGCUNANAUCGAAGGNUGUAGUUUCCUUACGAACAGAAAGAAUUGUGAAAGAAGGAGCAAAGGGUAACUAAGAGAGAUUGAGGCUUGUGUGGUUUUUUGGUAGGCAUUGUUGUAGUAUUUAUAGUGGUAGGUGGACCCAUUAAAUAUUGAUAUUAGUUGAGAGUUUAUUUAAUUGAAUUCAAAAGAGUAGAAAAGUAUUUAAUAUGGAAUAGGAAGACACAAUCAAAACUGAGAUGUUAGGCCUAAUAGGACACAUUCCUCUGUUGUUUUAAAUGGCUAUUAUCCAAACGACAUAACUUUCCUAAACAUGCAGUAUAACCCGAUGGCGAUGGCUAUAAGUAUAUGAUAUAGUAUAAUAAUAUUUAUGUUUAUGUUUAAAAAAUAUAUAUAUAUAUAAGGGCAAUGUAUUUAAUUGGAUAAAUAAAAAUAAAUAGGUUAUGUGGGGGUGGGAGAAUAAAAUUAUAAAAUUGUAUUUUUAAAUAUAAAUUUUUGAUAAAGGAUAAAAUUGGAAUAGAAAAAAUAGAGAAAAGGGUAAAAAUGGAAUGGGGGGGUGGGGGUUAGAAUUGGGGAGGUGCAGGGAGUAACCCCCUAAAUUUAGACCGUUUCCUGCAUCUCCAAAAAUUUCUUCUUGCACCCUUAUAAAUUUUUAUAUUAUAGUUCACCCAUUCUUUCUGUAUUUUCCAUGUACAAAUAAAAAGUAGCAACACUGUUAAAUUGAAUAUAUAUAUAUAUGAGGUUUGUUAACACGCGUACGCCUGUUUUUCAGUUGAUACGUUUUAACCAUGUGUAUUGGAUUAUAGUAGACAAAAAUAUCCUCAUUUAUCAUGGACUCUAAGUUUUAAGGUCAAGGAUAUUUAAAUAAUUUUCAUUUUCAAAACUAAAAAAAAAAAAAAAAACUUACUCACCUCCCUCAUUCCUCUUAACCCUUUCUUUUUCAUCUCUCUCACUCCAACAUUUUCUCUGUUAUCCUUACUGUUCCCCCAAUUGAAAAAAAAAAAUCAGAAACCCUUGCCUAACCCUAAUCUACCUUCCUCACUUAUCCAAUUUAUUUCUCUCUCGUCUCCAUACUCUCCCUCGGCCACACACAACAACUCGUGACAUCGUAAUUUGUUGCUCUUGCUCUGUUCGUUCAUUUGGAGGAUGUGUUAUAUAUUUUCCCUUCUUAUUAUUAUUAAAUUUCAAUUUUAAAUUAAAUCAUUUAAAUAAAACCUUCAUAAAUCAAUUAAUUUUUCAUACAUUAUUUACACAUCUACACCACAUUUCAUUAUAUUUUUAAAGAACAAGAUAUUUCCCUCUAUUGUCCUUUUCCCUUUACACAAAGUGUUUCUUUUUACUUUCUCUAUUGGUAUGAGAUACAUGAUGUAAGAUUACAACCUAGAAUUGAAAGAAUUGUACUCGUAGGGAGUUCUUCUAUACCUAUUUCUUUAAUUUCCUUAUGUCUCUUUUUUAUCACUGAAUCAACUCCUAUAGGCGACAGUAAAAUCAUUUUUUACUUUUGAAAUUUUGAAAAGUGAUAUAAAGUGACAAAUUUUAUAUUCAUUUUACACAUUAAUAAAUAUAAAAUGAUUACAAGAGAGUAAACUUUUUCGAUUUUUAAAAAAUAUCUCCGAUUCAAAUUACCACCACCAUAUCUUCAAUUGGGUUGAGAUGAGAGAAAAAGUGCUGGAGUGAUGACAGAAAAAAUGUUGAGAUGAGAGAGAAAAUAUCUCUUAUGACAAAGGGUUUCUAGUUUAAUUUUUUUUUUUCAAUUGGGACAAUAGUAGGGAUGACAGAGAAAAUGUUGGAGUAAGAGAGAUGAAAGAGAAAGGGUUGAGAGGAAUGAGGGAGGUGGGUAAGGGUUUGGGCUUUUUUUUUUUUUUUUUAGUUUUGAGAAUGAAAAUUAUUUAAAUAUCCUUAACCUUAAAACUUAGAAUCCAUGAUGAAUGAGAGUAUUUUUGUCUAUUUCCGAUACAGAUUGUUAAAACGUACCAACUAAAAAACAGGCCUACGCGUGUUAACAAACCCAUAUAUAUAUAUAUAUAUAUAUAUAUAUAUAUAUAUAAUAUUUAUUAUGACUUAAUUGUUAAGUCAUUCAAUUUAGUAUUAAAUUACAAUAUUUUAAAUUAUAAAAACUAUUUAAUAGGUUCAAUAUGAGGUCCAAAUAAAACACUCUUAAGAAAUUAUUGAUGAUUUGAAUGAACUGAAUCUGAUCCACCAGUGAAACAUGCAAAUUAAGAUAUCAAUCAUUUUCAUUGUCUUCUUAUAAAAAAUAUAUAUAUAAUACUUUAUAUGAAUAUUAAUAUACAAUGUAAUUGAAAUUGUUUUAAGAAAUAUUUAUCAUAGAAAAUUAUUGUAUUAUUUACAGAAAAAUAUUAUUAAAAGUUAAAUAAGAAAAUGAUAUAUUAUCUAGAGACGGACUCUGUCUCAUGGGAGAAAAAUGUACUUUAAAAGUUAGAGUGCAGUGAGCAUGGUAAAUUUAAAAGAAGUAGUUUGUCUAUUUCUUAUUUAAAUAUAUCUUUUUUUGUUUUAUAAAUGACUAAUAGAGCUAUUCUUUAAAAUGUUACUUAUAAGCAUUCUUUUUAACAAGUUAACCCUGGAUUUAUUGAUGAAAAUGCUUAUUUGCGUAUAAAAAACAAAUAUAAAUAUAUAUAAAAAAAUAGUGAGAAAUUGUGAAGAAAUUAUUAACAAAGUAUAAAAGAAAAAGACAAUAAUAUAUUAAUCCAGAUUAUUUUAUAAUAUUUUCAUUCAACUGCUCAUUAAAUUUCAAAUAUGUCAGUAUAAAAUAAAUAAAUAAUAAAUUGAUAAAAAAUAAUAUAUAUGUUAUAUAAAAAUCUAUAUCUAAUUAUUUUUUAUGAGAAAAAAUAAUGGUAGAAGAAGGCGUUUGAAUGGUAGAGGAAGUGUUGAAGUGUUAUGUCGAUUGUGACAGAACAUAUAUGUUGGAAUGUAGCAUAGUGUUAGAAAUCAGAGAAGUUGAUAUGAAGUUGUGAUGGGUAAAUCAUGGACAUCUUCAAAAACCCUUCGACCCAAUCCCAAGUUUCGUUGGUUGCCAAAAACAUGAAAUGUUGUUUUCUGCCAUUUCUCAGACAUUUUCAGUUUCUGACUACGUUUGACCUCUUUGCAAUUAAUUCUACUUACACCUGCUUUCAUACUUUUAUUAUCACGGGUCUGCACUCAUUUCUUUGUGGACUUUAAUAUUCUUAAUAAAAAUUCUUUUAACAACUAUUUUUUCUAAUAUAUAAGAUUGAAAUUAAGAAUAAGAUUAAAUAUAUUUUUAGUUCCUAUAUUUUAAGUCGAUUAUAGUUUUAGUCUCUCUUUCAAAAUAAAGUAUAAUUUAGUUCUUCAACUCUAAGAAAUUCUGGUUUUAAUUUUUUUUACCAAAUUUUUUAAANUUUAUUUGCUGUUUCAAGCACGCUUCAUUAUAGCAUUUGAAUUGUUUAUACUGUUUGACACAUUUUUGCUUCAAUAUUAACUGAAAAACACGAUUGAAACAACAAAUAAAGUAAAAAAUUUGGUAAAAAUGACUAAAACUAGAGUUUUCUAAUGUUGAAGGACUAAAUUGUACUUUAAUUUAAAAGGGUGACUAUAACCAAAAUCGUCCCAAAAUAUAAGGACUAAAAACAUAUUUAACUCUUAAGAAUAUAACCUGAUCACACAAAAGUAGUCCAUAACACGUAUGUGUAAUAUAAAAAAAAUCAUAAUAAAAUGUUUACUAUUUCUUUUCGAAAUUAUUUCUGGUGGUUUUUUUUGUUUUUCAUGUAAAAAUGUAUUUUUCAAUUUUUUUAAGAAAAAUGUUUUAUGAUUUUUCUAUAGAACAUGUUUAGUAAUUUUAUAAUUACAAAAAUAACAAAAAUCGAUCAGACGUCAAAAUAUUGAUUUCCUUCCAUUCACAUUUUAUCUUAAAUUUAAACCACACACAACAAGAACAAAGAAAUCCAUAAAACUGUUUAUCAUAAGAUUUAAUCUCAUUUUCAUUCUCAUAGGUCUAUUUCUAUUUUUAAGAAAAAAAAAACUAUAUUAAUUCUCUUAACAUGAAUUCCUAUGUAUUUAAGGAAAACAUUUAUAAAUUUUAAAAUGUUAAUCUAAUUGAAAUGCCAUAAUAUACGCAUCUUAUUUUAAGAAAGUCAAAUUUAAAAAUUAAAUACAUAACUGUUGAUGUAGACAGGGGAAUAUAUGAUAACAAAGAGGAAUCUAAACAAAAAAUACCUAGUUAUACAAAAUUAUAUUUUAGAAAAAAGAUAAUUACUCAAAUAAAACAUACAGUCAACUCACACGUUUAAAACUCAGUUUUGAAUAAAGAACAAAAUAGAAAUAUUAUUAAAAUAUUUUAUAGGAUUAGAAAAAUAAAAUAUUUUAAAAAUAGAGACAACUUUUUCUUUUUCUUUUACACAAAAACCUUUAUUAAUUUUAAAUAAUAAAAUAUUUAUCCUUUAUUCAACUCACUCUUGUGUCAUGUAUACUCAUAAAACAAAUUGCUGAUUUAGAAGUUAUAAUUAAAAUAGAAAUAUUUUAAUGCAACAAUUUCAAACAAAAGCCACACCGUCCAAAUAUUUUAUGUCCAAUUAAAUUUAUAUUUCGUUGGAUACUUUUUUUUUAUAUUUGUUUAUUGAACUAUUAGUAAACCUAAUUGAUUAUCAAAUAAACUACUUUUUUUUUAAUUGGAUCGAGUACAUUAAUUUUAAUGAUAAUCAAUUUAGGAGUAAAGUAUAUUUUUUCACAAUUUUGUAUUAAUUAAGUUACAUUCAUCUUGAAAUUUAUAAAUAAAGAUUUGAGAUAAGAAUGUAAAUUAAAUUAUUUUACUCAUAGAUUAAUUACUAAUUAAAAAAUGUUAAGCUAAUUUUGACAUUAAAGUACAAAUAUCCUUUGAACAAUUUAAAUAAAUGAAAAAUUCCUUUCUUAAUAACUUUUAAACUUCAGAAUGACAACAUUAUGAGACUAUAAAUAUCCAAAACAAGUAUAAUUUGAUAAUUUGCUCAAAAUAAUUAUAUUAAAAUACAUACUUGAAAAAUCACUCAAUAAUUCAUCCCAUUAUACUAUUAUAGCAUAUAUUUUUCAUAAAAAGAAGAUAAAAUAUGUCAAAUCCUCACGAAUUUGAAGUUUGUGGUUUAAUUAUAAAUAUGAAUCCACCAAACACGCUUCACAAACUCAGGGAUUUUUUUUUUUUCUCGAAACACAUGUUCUUAAUAAAGACAACAACCACUGUGAAAACAUCGUAUGUGAGACAAAAUAACAUUAUAAUAAUAAUUCUGUCUCUUACGUGUUUGUGUAAAAAACCAUAUCACAAAAAAUCGUCAAAAUUUUUUAAAUAUGGAAUCGAAUUUUCCUUUACAUGGUUUUUGCGUAAUAUACUCUUAAAGUGUAGACAACCUAGUAAUAAUUAAGAAUGCAACAAUUAGUGGACAUGCAUGAAUAUGAUCUCACGCGGGAAUACCAUUGAUUGCCUCUCUUUGAAGCAUUUAUCAUGAAAAAGAGGUUACUCAAAUCAAAAGAACUAAUAAAAAACUUGCAACUUGUUUAGAAGUUAGCAUAAAGUAAAAAGCAUUAUUUUGUUACAAGGAAGAGAUUUUCCUUUUUUAUCAUUGAAGAAUGUGAAAGGAAAUCAGGUUAAGAUAAAAAAUUAGAUAUGCAAAAAAUUAGACAGAUAAUUACAAAACCCAUAUGACUUUUUAUUUUUUAUAAACUGAUUUAAUAUAAUGCAAAACAAAAGAAAAACUAAAUUAAAAAUUAAACAAACUAAAACCACAAAUUUACAUAAAUAAAAAUUACACUAGGUGUUUUCUUUUACGACUUUGUCCUCAAAAUGCAUUUAUUAAGAAAGGCAUGUAGUCACGUAAUAAGAUACUAAUGUAAACUCUUUGUUAUAUUUUUCUUAAGAUAUUUACAUUGUUUUAAACAUCUAAAUGUAAAGGAUAAUGAUAUUUAGACAACAUUUUUUUGACAACACUUGAACAUUGAUUACGUGUCAAUAUGUGAUUGGUCAAAAAUUACUCCACAAUCAAUAAUAAUAAUCAUAAACAUUAUUGUAGAGUAAUUUUUGACCAAUCACAUAUUGACACGUAAUCAAUGUUCAAAUGUUGUCUAAAUAUCAUUAUCUAAAUGUAAAAUAUAGAAAAUACUACCAUUCAUGUGUUAUUUGCUUUUCAUGUAAAGACUAUACAGAGGAAGAAAAAAAAACUCAUUUUUAUUUCCUGAAAAACUAGAUUCUUAAAAUAAUAUUAGUGUUAUUAUAGUUUUGGAGAAUAAUAUUUUUAACAAUAUUUUUUAUAACAUUUUAACAUUAUCUACGUAUUUAAAAUUACUUCACAAUCAAUAAUAAUAAUCAUAAACACCAAUAUAAACCAAUCAACGAAUAACAUCAUAUUAAAAUAUUGUCAAAAUAUAAUUAUAGUAUAUUAUCCUAUAAUUUUAAUCAUACUCUUUUUUUCUAUCUACUAUUUAAACGAUCCAUACAAUUACAUAAAUAAGAAAAAUUUCAUGAAGGGGUCCCGAAAAGAUGGUCAACAUCAUCUCCACAACUGUUAAUGCAACAACGACAAAGAAAUUUCAUGGAGGGUCCCGUUACGGACGUUUCAUACGGAUUUUGCCCUACAACCCUUCUUUUCGGCGAUAAUUCAGCUUUAUAUUUUAAUUUAUUUUAUAACAAGAUCCUGAUCUGACCUUUCUUAAUUAUUUAUCAAUUUAUUAAGACGUCCCAUUUUCUUCACAUGGAAAUUCUUCUACCCAAAAUCAUAUAACCUAUUUAUUUAUCUUUCGGCAAUGGGUUGUUAUAGUUGAUUAAAGUAAAUGAUAUAAUGUCACUUUCAUUUUUAAAUUAGUAAACGUGUUAUUGACCCUCUAUGAUUUUAGCGUAUCUUAAUUUAAUCUAUAUUUAGAUAUGAAACUUACAUUACAAAUAUUAUAAUAAUUAAAAAUAUUAUAAUAAUUGAAUGAAAGCUUCGUCCUAGAUUUUCGUGUGUGGUUGAAAAAAAAAAGUUUAAUUAGAUGAUUGGUAAUAAAUAAGAAAGAGAAGAAUUUUGUUAAUUUUUGGUGAGUGGUCAAGAGCAAUAGGGUAGGCAGUAGCCACCAGUGAUUAGGCCUGCUUGCUCACCAAAUCACUCGAUCUUUUCUACAAAUUUCCUUUCCACCGCCACGUGUCAGUCUCUACUAGCUGUUCCUAACUUUCACCGGCUACUCCAGUCACCAUACCUAAGAAACAAAAUAAAAUAUUCCAUCACAUAGGGUGAGAAACUGGAAAAGCAAAACUCACUGUACGCACAGUGUCGCAGAGGGACAGAGAUAGAGCAGAGUCUGAGUGAAACAUCCAUUCCUUCCUCCUCCUCUUCCUCCUCGUGAUUCCCGAACAUUCUCUUCUUAUUCCAGCUCCACGCGCGUGAUUCCGCUCUCAAUACUCGCGCCAUUGUUCUUCUUCUUCCGUAAAGAAUCUUAGGGUUUGCUGAAUGCUGAAUGCGGCUUUGCUCGCACACUGACUCUUCACACUACAAUGUCCGGCCCUCUCGACCGUUUCGCCAGACCAUGUGACUUUUCUUUCUCUAUCGAACUCUUUUUUAGGGUUUUAGGUUUUCUUUUUUGCUGAUGAAACGGUUCGUUUUGGCUCUGCCUUGCAGGUUUCGAAGGUUUCUCCGGGAGCGACGAGAAGAAGGAGCGGAGAUCUGAUUUUGAGAACUCCGAGGACGAACGGAGGACCAGAAUCGGAUCUCUCAAGAAGAAGGCGCUCAAUGCGUCGUCCAAGUUCAAACACACGCUGAAGAAGAAGAGCAGCAGAAGGAAGAGCGAUGGCCGCGUCAGCUCUGUUUCCAUCGAGGAUGUUCGGAAUUUCGAGGAGCAGCAGGCCGUUGAUGCAUUUCGCCAGUCCUUGAUCAUCGACGAAAUGCUCCCCGAAAAACACGAUGAUUACCAUGUCAUGUUAAGGUGUGCAUUAACCAGAUAAAUGCGAGGUGUUAAAUGAACAAACUCAAUUGUUUUUUUUUUUGCUUGAUUUUUAUACAUUUUGCAGGUUUCUGAAAGCGAGGAAAUUUGAUGUUGAAAGGGCGAAGCAUAUGUGGGCUGAUAUGCUACAAUGGAGGAAGGAGUUUGGUGCUGACACUAUUAUGGAGGUUAGUGCAGAUUGAUUCGGAUAAUGUUUGAUGUUUAGUGUAGGGUUCAAGAUUAGCCUCUGUGAUGGUUAGAUUUGUAUGUUGUGGAUUGCUGCAUACUCUGUAUAAUAUUUGCUUAAUGUUUUGUGUUUGCUUUAGGAUUUUGAGUUCGUAGAAUUAAAUGAAGUUAUGAAGUAUUAUCCGCAUGGUCAUCACGGUGUUGAUAGGGAGGGAAGGCCUGUUUACAUUGAGAGACUUGGGAAAGUAGAUCCGAACAAACUUAUGCAGGUUACAACCAUGGAUAGAUAUGUGAAAUACCAUGUACGGGAAUUUGAGAAAGCUUUUAAGAUAAAGUUUCCUGCUUGCACAAUUGCCGCCAAAAGACACAUAGAUUCAAGCACCACGAUAUUAGAUGUUCAAGGAGUGGUAUGUUGCUGCUAAUUGUUCCUCAUUGUAUGUGUCUAUGUGUUCCUGUGACAUACGGCAAAUUUAUGGUGUAGUUUCAACUUUUAGGGCCUCAAGAACUUUACAAAGUCUGCCCGGGAACUAAUUUUGCGGUUACAAAAGAUUGAUGGUGACAAUUACCCUGAGGUGAGUAAUAUCAGUUUGUGUGUAAUCUUGUAUUACGUUACGUUCCUGUUUUGAUUUCAUCCAAAAAUUUAAAGAAUAAAUUUUACCAAGGUGUCAAUGGUUGAGGAUGAUUGAUAUGUUUUUUCUUAUUAAUGAUACAGACUCUUUGUCAAAUGUUUAUCAUAAAUGCCGGCCCUGGAUUUAGGUUACUGUGGAACACCGUCAAGUCUUUCCUUGAUCCCAAAACAACUUCAAAGAUCCAUGUAUGUAAAAAGUGCUAUAUUGUAGUUGCUUAAGGCUCCUUUUUUUGUUGGUUUAUGAAUGCUGACAUUGCUUGGUGCCUGUGUGGAAAUAUUGCUUAGGUUCUUGGAAAUAAGUAUCAAAGCAAAUUGCUUGAAGUAAUCGAUGCCAGGUACACAAUGGGCCUAUUUCUCUAUAACCAAGUGUUAGAAAUUUUGUAAUUUAUAUGCUUGUAUCAAUAAUGUAUUUAACCAUCACUAACACUUUUCUUAAUAUUGUUGUGCACUUAAUGAAGCGAGUUGCCGGAAUUUCUGGGGGGUACAUGUACAUGUGCAGAUCAAGGUGGUUGCCUCAGAUCUGAUAAGGGACCCUGGAAAAACCCUGAAAUUUUGAAGGUAUACACUGAUGUUUCUUUCUAAAAUGCUCAACACUUGCUAUAUGAUACGAAUGUUGCUACAUGCUAACUGUACUGUUAAUCGCACGGGGAAAUUUGCAGAUGAUUCUUAGCGGUGAAGCACGAAGAGCAAGGCCUGUUGUAAAAGUUCUAAACAGUGAAGGAAAGGUUAUUGCAUAUGCCAGACCACAAUACCCAAUGGUAAUAUGUUGUAUGGUUUAUUAUUGCUUGAAUCUGGUGGAGGCUGAAUUGAUUCCUUUGUACUUCUUCAGGCUCCUUUUCAUUUUGUAACCUUAUUGACUGUGUCACUUCUUUCUUGCAGGUAAAAGGUAGUGACACAUCCACAGCUGAAUCAGGGUCUGAAGCUGAAGAUAUUGCUUCUCCAAAAGCAAUGAAGAGCUACUCUCACCUUAGGUUGACACCUGUUCGUGAGGAAGUAAGUGUUGAUUUUCUGAUAUGUUUACUCACACUUUUCAUUAAAUUGGUAGAAUUUUCAAUUCAUUGAUUGUAGUACUUCUGUGCACUUAAUUUUACUGGCUGCAAAAUUUUCUCUGAUCAUUCUUGCACCUAUUAGCUUUUUAUUUAACACUUGUUUGAUCAGUUGUAUUUAUAUGCAGAAGAUAUUCACUAUGAUUAAUGAUUUAAUGAGGAUGAUCAAAAUAUAUUACGUUUCAAGGAACUUGUUCUUAGGAUUUUCCCUGGUCUAUUCUAAACAGAGAAGUUAUUUACGUUUUGUGUUCAGGCUAAGGUUGUUGGAAAGUCGAUCUAUGUUGGUGGUGGUAACUUGGCUGGGUAUGAUGAAUAUGUUCCGAUGGUGGACAAAGCUGUUGAUGCUGGCUGGAACAAACAAGCAUCACUCCAGAGGGCUCAAACUUCAAAAGGUAAAACAACUUUAGCUUAUUGUUAUUAUAGUUACCUAUUGUAUGAAUCUUCUCAUGGUGCUUAUUCAUAAAAAGAAAAAUAACACCAAUGCUUAAAACAUAAGUGCGUUGUUUAAGAUCUUGUAUCUGCAUUCUGUUCUAAAUAUCAGUUAAAACUUGUUUUGUUAGUAACAUAGUGACACUAUUUGCGCUUUAACUUUUGCAGGACAUUUGAUGGCUGUAAGAGCGUCAAUGUCAUGAGUUUUUGCCUUAUGCUGUGUCAUUAUACAAAAGAUUAUACCCCAAUUGAAUCAUGAAUUUUGUUUAAUUAACGUUUGAUUAAAAUUAACUCAAUUUUUGAUAGGCUAUUGAACGCAUGGCAUGAUUUUCUUUUGACACUUGUGCUCUUGUUAGUAAUCCUCCCCCUUGUUUUUAUAAUACAAUGCCCUCGUGUUUUUGAAAUUUGAAUUUGUUUUACUGUGAUGAUAAAUGGUGUUUUAUAUCGGGUGUGUUCUGUAAUUUCUAGUCCGUUAGAGACAAACUGUUUGGGGACCCACACUCGGGAGUUUAAGGUAUUGGAACAGUUGGUCCCUAACCUGGCAUUUGUUUUGUCAGGGCGGGAUUUAUACGGGAUUAUAAGCAAUUGCAUAAGUCCUUGUCUUUUAAGAUUUAGGAAGCGCUAGUUCUUUUCUUGUUUUCAUGAUUUGAAUUUUUUGAUUUAAUUUUCUUCAGGAUUGUUAAAUUGAAUUUUGUAUUACAGGAACACCUUCCCUCCCUGAUCCUCCACAAACUCCCAUAGGGGUUCGAGCUCGGAUGCUGGGGGCUCUAACUGCUUUCUUUAUGAUGCUGUUUACCCUCUUCCAUUCUGUCGCAUACCGUGUGACCAAGAAACUUCCCGCUUCAUCAUCUAAUGAGGAUCAGUGCACUUCAGAGACACCCGAUAGUACAACCAGCGAAGACAACCAUCCUCCGUCACCAACUCCAGCACACAGAGAGGAAAGUCUCCUUUCCUCAAUGGUGAAAAGGUUAGGUGAGCUUGAAGAGAAGGUUGACACACUCCAAUCUAAGCCAUCUGAGAUGCCUUACGAGAAAGUGGAAUUGCUAAAUGCUGCUGUAUGUCGGGUGGAUGCUUUGGAAGCAGAGCUAAUUGCAACUAAAAAGGUAGUAACCUAUACUUUCGCUUUUCCAUAAUUCUUUUAAACACUGCAGUCUUGAUAAUUACUUUGAGGUGUUUCCAUGUCUUAUUUUAUCUGUUAUCUUUAAAUGCAAAACCAAAAUCUUACCUUUCCUGUUAGCUGGCCGCCACAAGAAUAUAUCGAUGAGCACAUUAUUAAUGAAUAAAUGCAAUAUUUUCAUGUCUGUUUUUUUAUUUAUUUUUUUAAAUUCUAACCAAUUUUUUUGUCUAUAUGGAACUAAGGUAUGAUAGUUAUUUUAAGUUAAAAAAUCACACGAAAGAAAAAUGAAUGUUUUUCUUGCCUAUAUGUCUCGUGUUGGUUGUUAAACGGGUGUAUUUGUUUUAUGGCAGUUUCGUUAUUUUAGAUUUUAAUUCCUGUACAGUUUCAUUUAAAUGGUGAAUUAGGAAAAUUUGUUAUUGCAGUUGUACUUUUGCUCUCUUUAUGCAUACAUGUAUUUUUCUCUCCUAUUUAUGUUUGGGUGAGUUUCAUAUUUGACCGUGAAAAUGUGAUGAGUACUUGGUUUUUUACUCUUUCCUUACUUGAAGAAUACUGUUACAUUUGUACUUUCUGGAUUGUUCGAUAGGCUCUAUAUGAAGCAUUAAUGAGGCAAGAAGAGCUGCUUGCUUACAUUGAUAGUCAAGAAGAAGCUAAGUCGCGGGUAAGUUUGUCUCAUAUUUUUAAUACAGUUUUAUGGAUGUUAUGCAAAUCUCUGAUAUUUAUAUAUUGCUGUUUAUCAGAAGAAGUUUUGCUGGUGAGUUUUGGCUGGCUGAUAAAGGGACUCUGGGAGAGGGCAUUUUUUCGAAUCAUGGUGUUCUUAGUGCCGACACUUUGCACAUUAGGUUGAUCCCUGAACACUAAUUUUCUGUUUAAUGCGUACACUCGAGAGUUGUCAAACUCGUGUAUAGCUAAUAGCUUUUUUUCCGGAUUAAAAACAACCCUUGUUUUUGCUCUCUGCCCACCUUUAUUAUAUUUGGUGUGAUUGUCUUGUUAAUUUGAGAAGCGUUUGUCGUUCUGAUGAUCUCAUGAUUUUCCUUAAAUAUUAAUCGAUUUUGGGGGAUAUCCAGGGGAGACAAAGCUAAAAAAUAAAUAGUCCCUCUGAAGCAUUUAGGAAACGGGGCAUAUUUCGUGUUAAAUCCCGUAUAAAUAAGGCACGCGAACAAUGGUAAUUUUAUUUCUCAAAUUAGAAGGUAAUGAUGGUACAAUACGGUAAAUAUGUGGAUUCGUUUGGCGUAACCUUUUUGUGCUGUCGUAGAUGGUUGAAGUGAAGUUCCGUUUGUCAGUCAAAUAGCAAGUGGAGUGUCUCAGACAGUUGGAACCAACUUCACUUCAUCACAGGGACGACUUUAGUACAACAGGAACUGAGGAUUAAGCUGACGAAAACGCCUGUCAUUUGGUUCAACUAGUUAGUGCAAGUACAUUUUGAGAAAAACAAUGAUCUAAUAAUAUCAAAAUUUAACAAUCUUGCCUUUGCGAUCAUUUUCGUUACAUAGUUAUACUUUUAUGCGUAAACACAAUUGUGAGAGAGUGUCCUACUGUCUAAAUACAGAAUAUUUAAUUGGAAUAGAGGAGAAAUUAUACAAGGUGAAUGUAAUAGGAUCUGAUGGGGCUGAUAAAAGGAACGCCUCCAAGAAUAUACAACUCAUGCUAAUGUUAAUAUUUGAUUGAGGUCAGACAGCAAUCGACACCCAACGCCUUACCAGCGGAACUGCGAUCACGAACCCGAAAUCUUGUGUAAGGAGGGAAAGCACUACACACAGGUAACAAAUUAUUAUAGCUUACAAACUUCACAUGACUCACGAACGCAACGUCAUACUAUAAAAUCAAGGUUCGUAUGACUCACCAUUCUCUUCUUUUUCUUUUUAUCAAUUUGACCUUGAAGCUCCACUUGUCGGAUAAGGGCAUCGUCAAGUGACUAAGAAACAGAAAAAAAAAGUACAAAAAAUGUAAGCUUUUUUUUUAAUCAUAUAUCAAUCAAUGUUAUUCUCAAAUGAUGAUGAGGUUGUAGUAUGAAGGAAAACCAAUAAUACCUUUUUGGUAAUUACCAAUUCUUGUUCCAGCGUACUGAUUCUGCUAAGAGCCUUAUUCAGCAAUUCUUCCAUCUCAGCUGGUAUGUCAGGUUUCUUAGAGAGGAUAUUCACCUUCUCUUCUAGUUCAACCAUGCGCUUCAUCAUGGACAUUUGAUCAUCCAUGCAAAUUGCAGGUGCUUUCAUUUUGUUGCCAUUACAAUGUGCUGUGUUACCAAACAAGUCAGUUCCAGUGAUUUUUUUUGGCACUUUCUUUGCCAGGCGGAUAACUGUUAUCACUGCCAUAAGAACUGACAUGAUUCCACCAGUAAAUGGGACUCUAAACUUAUUAGAAUUACUGUUGCUAGACAAACAAUCUUUAGAAAGGGCUAACUGAUCUUUUCGUUCUGCUUUCUCCCAAGAUGAAUUCACUGGGGCAAAUGCCACCUGCUAAUAUGCAAAGAGAGUACCCAAAGAGAUGGUCAAUUCUGCAGUUAUGUUCUCAUCAAACACUUGAUUUAUAUUUCAUGCAAAAAGUUCUUGUUCCUCACCAUGAAAAUUACUGAAUGUUAUUCAGAUACAUAGGCUAGAGUUUAUAGAUAAAUACAUAUAGAAUGAAAACAUCAAAUGAUCGAAAAUCUAAGAAACUUACUUCUGGAGCAGCACAGGGAUCCUCCACGGCUGCAGAUUCUUUAAAAGAAUCGCAUUCCUAAGAUUAUAGGAAAACAAAUCAAGUUAUCAGAUUUUCUGACAAACAGAGGAUGGCAAGAAAAUUUCAGAGCAAAACUGAAUUUGAAAUUGUAAAGUACGUAACUGCUUACCUUUUGGCAUUCUGUAUCAUCUUCAAUUAUGGUUUUCACUUCGAUCCCGGAUAAAGCUUUCCUCUUGCAUUUUCCUGCUCCAUUUUGAACCAUCUAGUGCAUCCAAACAAAACAUCACUUCAUUACUAUCUUUUCCUAAUCGCACAACUAAAAAAAAUUUGAUCUUACUACCUUGAAGAUUUCUGGGUCAUUCCAUGGUCCCUUGUCUGAAAGCAAGCAACCACCUUUGUCUUCACAGGUACAAGUACCACCCAAGAACUCUGGAAGUUCACUGGUAAAUGAUAUAAGAACAAUGUGUUAUGUAUGGCCUUGAAUAGUAUAUUGUUCUUCAGUCACACAUGUUAAAAGAACAUCCUCGUUAAUGAGUAUGAUCAGAGAUUGUCAUUACUGUUUACUCAAUCUAAACCAUCUCUCAGCAUAUCGUUAAUGUGAUAAACUUGAAUUCAGAUGAGAAUGAGAACGGAGAAAAACAUUCACCUGGCAUCAAUGAUUUCAAGUAACUUGCUCUGAUAUUUGUUACCUAGGACCUGGCAAAUAAAGCAGUAAUCUAUUGAGAGCUCCUGCUUAACUGAAACCAACAUUGCUUGGGUGUGAAAAGUAUAUAAAAAUUUCUUACAUGGAUUUUGGCGGUGGUCUUAGGAUCAAGGAAUGACUUGACAGUGUUCCACAACAGCCUAAAUCCUGAACCAGCAUUAAUGAUGAACAUACGGUUUAAGGUCUGAAAAGAAAAGUUCAGUCAGGUUAAAUUCAGAAUGCGACAUUUUAGUCAGGAACGUGAAGUAGUACCUCAGGGUAGUUGUCACCAUCAAUCUUCUGAAGACGUUGGAUGAGAUCCCUUGCAGCUUUGUUCAAACUUUUUAGACCCUGAAUACAGAUGCUAGUCAGCAAUCAUGUAAAACUUCUUUUACAUAUGCACCUGAGAUACGGAUGUCACCUCCUAAAUGUAACUUAUGCAUGAUAUAAUUUAAUUAAGGAGUUCCUGUGGAGUUUUACUCUUUCUGGUUUGAACAUGGAACAGAAAGUAAAAGCUAAACAUGCGGUAUUAUAGUAUUGCUGCAUAUUUUCAUACAUACCACUCCUUGCACAUCCAAGAUUGUUGUGCUUUGGUCAAUGUGUUUCUUGGCUGCAAUGGAACAAGCAGGGAACUUAACAGCGAAUGUCCUCUCAAACUCUCUCACAUGGUACUUAAGAUAGCGAUCCAAAGUUGUGACUUGCAACAGCUUGUUAGAGUCAACCUGACCCAACCUUUCUAUGUAAACAGGUUGCCCUUGCUUAUCAACUCCAUGAUGCCCUUGUGGGUAGUAUUUUAGGACUUCUUCUAACUCCUUGAAUUCAAAAUCCUUAACAAGACAACAAAAGAAAAAAAUUGUUAAAAAAUAAAUUUUAAAGUGUAAUUCAAUCUCAUGAAACUAAUAUGUAAAUUUAAGUUUGUAUUCAUUUAUAUAUUAUAUAAAUUGGUGUUAUUUAUUAGAUUUUCAACAAUCACAUAAAAGUACAUUCAUGGACAUUGUUUUUUCUUCAUCCACAGGAAGUUACCUCCAGAAUUGUGUCAGCACCAAACUCCCUCCUCCACUGAAGCAUAUCUGCCCACAUUUGUUUUGUUUUCUCGAUUUCAUAUUUUCUUGCUCUCAAGAAUCUAGGCCACCAUUUUAUAUUACAGGUAUUAGUAAAUCAGCAAAUGGACAAGAAACUAGUCAUAAGGUCUGAGGGGUAUACCUUAACAUCAUAUGAUGAUCAUCAUGCUUUGAGGGUAAUAGUUCUUCUAAGAUGAGUGUUUGGCGAAAAGCAUCAACUGAUUGCAACUCUUCUGCAUCAACUUCAUCCUCAAUAGCAAUAGACAUAACUCUGCUAUGCCUUCUCCCCUUCUUUUGCAAGGAAUGCUUGAACUUUGAAGAUGCACUGAUUGCUACCUUCUUGAAAGAGCCAAGCUUUUUUUUCUUAUCAUCCUCUGAGUAUUCCAUCUCAGCACCUGGUUUUGCAUAACCCAAAUUACUCACAGAAGUUUCAAAAGGAAGACAAGAAAUUCGCAAACUGAUGUUUUAUUUUUGUUAUUAACAAUAAACAACAUCCAAUAAUACCACAACAUUAUUCAAAUAAACUACAUUAUUAUGAAUUUAACAUAUAAGUUAUGUUAAUACUGCAAAAACCCAUUGAUCAUUUUCUAUUAGUACCACAACAUUAAUUUGGAUUCAAGCUUCUUUCUUUUUGUUAUGAACCUCACAUUACAAUCACUCUAUCCGUUUUAAGAAAAAAAUCUCUCUCAUAUACCCAUAAGCCAUACCUCAAAUAAUCAUGCAUUGAUAAUACGUUCAUAGACAAUUACAAAGGCAAUCAAAGAUCUGAAUUAUAUCUCGAUUUCCAUCAAUGAUUCCUCUAACUGGUGAAUGAGCUUUAUAAUAAAAACAUUCUAAAUAGCAAAUGCCCGUCAGAUAUAUAUAAUCAUCUGAUUUCAGCUUUCUUCAAUUUUCAUUCUUCUCAUCUUCAUACAUUGAACAUGUCAACAUGCAAACAAAACAGUUAAAUUCAAACAUCAUUGCCUAAAGGGUGUGCAAAAAUUGAUUACACAGCACAUGCAUAACAUAUAUAAGUAAUCAACCAAAGAAUGAAAAGGGAAGGAAAUUGGAAAACAUAGAUUUUACCACCUUUAGCAGGUCGAUCUGUGAUAGUUAUGGAGGGCACAGCUACAAUGUCAGACAUGAUUAAUUAUCGAACCUCGUAAGCUCCUCAAAUGAGAACAGACGUAAGGUAGAAGAGAAUCAACAAUAUUCGCACAUGCGCCUACUCCUUAGCUUAAGCCAUCAAAUAACAUCAUGCAUGUCAGAAGCUGAAAAACCAUUUCUUUUACACACCAAUAUGAACCCUUUUUCAAAUAUAUUCAUCAUGCAUUGGAAAAGAAAACAUCAAAGCCAAAAGCAUAAAGAUAUGCUUACAAUGAUACAUAUAUAUAAUGAUACAAUGCAGUUGAAGAAGCUAUAUUGAACCUAAGGGGGUUCAAAAAGUUGAUGAAUCAACAUGAGAGAGAGAGAGAGAGAGAGAAAGAGAAUGGAGUAGAAUGGUAGAUGAAAUACCUGUGAGUUGCAGGAAUAUAGGCGUUGCAGAAGCAAAGAAAACGUAAAUUUAUGAUCCGAAUAAGUCUGUGACAAUAUAUAGAAGUGCCAGAAAAAGAAGCGAGGUUGGUGCAACUCGUUUUUAGGGUUUGCUGUUUUUUUCGAGCUUCUGUUUCUACUAGAAGGAUUACAGAUGGAGAUGGUGCUGGCGAAAUGCAUGCAACUCCAUUCUUUCAUAUUCUCUCCACUACGCAACCCUUUCUAUCUUCUUUACUAUGCUUUAUAUGCUAUUCUAGGUUUUUUUUUUUUUUUUUAACAUAUAUAUGUUUAUUUAUUUAUUUAUAUAGCAUAUAAAUUUAACUUGUAAAAUUCUAUGAGUAAUUGAAUUACUUAUAAAAUUAAAUUGUAUAUAAAUUUGUGUAUCAAUUUUUGUUUGUAUUCCUGCAUUAAUUAUUGAUAAACGUCUUUGUAAUAUUUUUUUAUUGGCGAUACGAUUUCUUUAUCAUGUGGGAAAUGUUAGUGCAUAUAACAAAGUUAAAAAAAUUAUUUUUAUAAUAUUAGAUACGUAAUUUUCAUUAGCUAAAAAUAAUUUCAACUAAUGUUAAUUUGUUAAUGCCAGUUAAAAAAUUGAUUAAUUUUAAUAACAAAAUAACAUCAAUCCAAGAUCAAUAAAACCUAUCACUGGUAUUUUUAAGUUAUUACAAAUUGUUCGACACUUAACCAACCUUUUUUAAAGAAUGAUAAGUGAAAUAUUUUAUUUAAAUAAACAAUUAAAAUUCAAUAAAUUUAAAUUAAUUCAAAUUCAAUCUAUUUAAAUAUUUUAUAAAUUGUGAAACUCUCUCUAAAUACAAAGUUAAAGUAUGCUUAGAAAAUAUUCCUAUAUAUUGAAAUGUUGUAAUUUACUAUACUGAAGUGUUGUAUUCCUAAUGUUAGCUAGCGAAUUAUACAUAAAUGUAUAUGAUUUAGCUUUGGAAUAUUAUGGUUUUUUUUUAUCGAAAUAGGUAAAAGUGAUUUUGAAUUUACGUAUUUAGAUAAAAAAAAAACUUUUUUUUUACAGUAAUAGAUAAUUGUGAGUCAGACGACUUUAAAUGAAAAAAUUAUAUCUUUCUACACAAGUUUAGUCUUAUAUAUAUAUAUAAAAAAAAUAGAUUAAUUAAAUUAUUAGAAAAAAAACAGUAAAGAUUUAAGAAGUAUACGACUUUUAUAGUUAAAAGUUGUAUAUCCCUCACAUCUUCAACUUUUUAAUAAUUUAAUUAAUUUAAACUAUAUCUACUUAAUAUCAAUUAAUGAAAAUAUAAUUUAAAUAACAUAAUUUUAAUAAAUAUUGUGUAAAAUUAACUAAUUGACAAAAUUAGAAAACAAAAUUAUUUUAAUUACAAACAUAAAUACUAUCAAAUAUAUAUAAUUCAUUAUAUUUAAAAACAUAAAUUAUUAAUUAAAAAUGAUUUAGAUUAAUUAAAUUUUUAAUUAAUAAUUUAUGUUUUUAAUUAAUAGUUUAUGUUUUUAAUUAAUAAUUUAUGUUUUUAAUUAAUAAUUUGUGUUUUGGAUUAAUAAUUUAUGUUUUUAAUUAAUAAUUUAUUUUUUUAAUUAAUAAUUUAAUUAACUUAAACCAUUUUUAAUUAAUAAUUUAUGUUUUAAUUAAUAAUUUAUGUUUUUAAAUAUAAUGAAAUAUAAUAUUUGAUAGUAUUAAUUAUGUUUGUAAUUAAAUAAUUUUGUUUUCUAAUUUUGUCAAUUAAUUACUUUUAGACAAUAUUUACUAAUAUUAUGUUAUUUAAAUUAUAUUUUAUUAAUUUAUAUUAAGUAUGUAUAAUUUAGAUAAUUAAAUUAUUAAAAGAAGUAAAGAUGUAAGGAGGUAUACAACUUGAUUUACAUCUGAUUUUUUUUAAUAAUUUAAUUAAUCUAAAUUCUUUUUUUUAUAGGAUAAUGAUAUUUAGACAACAUUUUUUUGACAAUAUUUGAACAUUGAUUACGUGUCAAUCUGUGAUUGAUAAAAAAUUACUCCACAAUAAUGUUUAUGAUUAUUAUUAUUAUUGAUUGUGAAGUAAUUUUUGACCAAUCACAGAUUGACACAUAAUCAAUGUUCAAAUGUUGUCUAAAUAUCAUUAUCUUUUUUAUAUGUUAGACUGAAAUCGUAUAGAAAAUAUGACUUCUUGGUUUAAAGUCAUUUAGAUCUUAGGACUUCUCUAUUUUCAUAAAAAUAAAUUGUUUAAAUAUAUAAAUUCAAAAUCACUUUUCCUAUUUAGUGAAAAAAACAAUAUUAUGAUAUAAUAUCUUAUUUGAAAAUUGUAUAUGGUUUGGAGCUCUUAUGAUGAAAUAAACUACUUCCAUUUUCAUAACCAUAUGAUCUUUUUCUCCUUGUUUGUGUGCUAAUCUGGCCAUUCAUAAUGUAGUUGCUCCCUGCAUCAGAUUGGGAAAAGCUUACAAUGAGUAAUAAUUAUUAAUAUAAAGCUUAUUCUUAUCUUGAAUGAAAGUUCAAGUUGUACCUGAAUAUAGGAGAUUAUUCAGCAUUUAAAAAUAGCAAGAUAAAUGUAGUAGCUAACAUAAUAAUUAAUUUUGUACUCGAUUGACGUUAGACUAAUAUAAAUAUAACUUUGUAUUUUGUUGGAGAUUAUAUAUUAACUUGAAAUAUGAUGAUUUUAUAUAUAUAUAUAUAUAUAUAUAUAUAUAUAUAUAUAUAUAUAUAUAUAUAUAUAAAUUUUAAGUUUUGUAAUAUUAAAUUAAGUUUAAAAUUUAUUUUGUAAGAUGAUUUGUUAUUUAUUAGAUUUAUUGUAUAUUUUUAUCAUAUUAUCUUUAAUAUUUCGUCUUAUAUUUUAGAUAGACGUGUUUUAGUACAAAGGAAUUGGGUUGAAUAUCUCAUAUUUAUUAAUUGGUUUUAUAGGCUCAAAUUAAAGUCAAUUUUAAAAAAAAUUAAAUUUUGUAUUAUAAGUGAAAAUAUUAAAUCAUAUAAAAUAAAAUAUGUAUAAAUUUAUUGUUCUGAUAUUUUGGAUUAAAAAUGAUAAUUUAAGUUUAACUUGCAUUUUAUUAAUGAAUCUCUUUGGUAAAUCCUUAAAAAUCUAUGGCUGAUUCGUUGAAGGCAUAUGGUUUUUAAUUUUAAGGAUUGUUGGUCAAAAAGAAAAAGAAAGAAGAAGACAAACAUGGAAGGUUCGUUUUUUCCAACUACUUCCAUCUACCAAGAAAGAAUAUAAUGGUAAUAGGCAAGUUCAUGCUACCAUAAACAAUAUCAAACAUUUAUUUUCUCAUUUUCAUGGGCAUUGUUUUAGUGGUGGAAUCGAGCUACUAUCGAUAUCUUUACAAUUUGUCUUUUAGACUGUCCGGUUCCAUCUCUUACUGUCUUCUUUUCAUGAAUAUCGUCUGAUCUUGUCUUCAGAUCUCCUUCUUCUUAUGAAUAUCGUCCGGUCUUUUGCCCUUAGAUCUCUUCUUCGAUUGGAUACUGUACAGUGGGGUACCUGCCGAUGCUCAAGUCAGUGUACAAUUCACUCAGUAAAUCCAAAACAGUAAUAAAUGUGUAAUAAAUAUAAAUCACCCACUUCAUACCUUUGACCUAUAUUAUAGUUUUUAUGAUGGGCUUAUGAUAAGUGGGUUCUUAAUCAUGGCCCAAUAGCCGAUAUUCGUUCUUGGGUCACGGUCCGCCAUGGCCACCUCCGACCAGUUAAUUUUUCUCCUGCCUUCCUGGGGAUACAUUUUCAAUUCGGUGGCAUAACAAUCCCUCAUCGUCUUCUAUUCAGCUCGCACACCCUUGUUGGUCGGGUACUUCAUGGUGAGAUGUGGGGUAGACACAAUGGCCCCGAAGACAUUUGGACAUGGUCGUCCUAAGAGGACGUUGUAUGAAGUGUUGGCUUCUACCAGUAGGUAGUGCACCCUCUUCUCUUUGCUUUCCUGGUCCCAGGCGAGUACGCAGGUUAAUAUCCUGGUGUCUACUCUUUCGCCUGCAAAUUUCACUAAUCAAAAGUCCAUAGUAAAAACUAUAAAUAUAGGUCAAAGAUAUGAGGUGGUGAUUCACAUUUACUGCACAUUUACUACUGCUCUAUAUUUAUUGAGUGAAUUGUGCACCGACCUAAGCGUCAGGGAACUUUUACAGGUACUCGAUCGGAAGGUAUCCAAUUGAAGAAGAGAUCUGAGAAACAGACCUGACGGUAUUCAUAAGAAAAAAGCAUCAGGAGGUGGUACUAGACGAACUAGAAGACAAAUUGUGAAGGUAUCGAUAGUAGUUUAACUCCACUAUCGAAACAGCCAUCAAUGUAUAAAUGAUUUUUGUUUGUUUUUUUUAGCAUUAUUGAAAAUCUGUAACCAAAUAAUAUUAUCAUUAAGAAACAAAUGCUGACAGACUGUAAUAGUAAGCAGCAUCAUGGGAAGCCAUAUCCCGAAUAAUGACAAAACAUUAUUGGCAAACAAUGACGGAUAAUAUAUUCGAACUUUAGAGUUACUCAAUUAUCAUUAUUAUUAUUUAAAUCGAAAUUCAUACGUUCUUGCUUUAAGGGACAACAUUCCACAACAAUUAUUGAUAAUUCAUUCAAAAAAUUUCUUUGUAAUAUACAAAAUUUGUUCAAUCUUGCUCUUAUCCAGAGUCGCAUCUAAAUAUUGUCAGUUUCGCAAUGUUAUAUAUAUUUUUUAUCAUAGUCUUAUUCUUUGAAAAAUAUUAAUAAAUUAAUAGAAAUACAUAUAUGUUGAAACAAAUUUUUAUCAAGACACAAAUUUUUUAUAUUAUUUUUUAAUAAAAUAAAAACUAUAAAAUAAAUUUUAAACUUAAUUCAAUUUUACAAAUAUAAUUUUUUCAAUGAAACAAUAUAUUUUUUAUCAUAGUCUUAUUCUUAAUAAAAAUCUUAAUAAAUAUAUAUAUAUAUAUAUAUAUAUAUAUAUAUAUAUAUAUAUAGUUGUAUAUAAUGUUUUUAAUAUUGAAACAAAUUUUGUUUUUUGAUAUUAUUUUUCAAUAAAAUAUAGAUUUGACCAAAUAAGAAAACUUUAAAGUAAAGUUUGUUUUUACAUAUGUAUUUUAAAUUAAUCUUAUUUAACAUACUUUUUGUGUCAAGAUAUACACAUAUUUUAUGUGUAAAACUAUAUAUUAAAUGAUGAUAUAAUGCAUGUUUAAUGUGUGAAACUAUAUAUUAUAUUAAUUGAUGAUAUGAUAACAAAUAAAAUAAUAUAUUUAACAUAUAAUAAGUUUUAUUAUAAUAAAAAUAAGUGAAUCUUUUAAAAAUAAAAUAACAUCUAAGAAACCAUAUAAUAUAUUAGGUACAGAGAAAACUAGAAUUGGUAAGAAACCAUGAAUUUGGUCAAAAUCGAGUGAGCAAACAGAGGAAGCCGUGAAAGAAAGGAAAACGAACUAUAAACUCUAAGUUCCACGGAUUGGCAGAAGAGAAUAACUCAAAAGGUGGAAAAGAUGAAUUAGUAAGUGAAAAAGAAGAAGCUAAAGUUACAAAUGUUUUUAUAUGAUAUAAACCUCUAAACGAAGAGGAACAUAGACGAAUCGGUAGAAAACCUUACCUAUUGAACUGAGGUGAGUUUGAACAAAUUUACCUAGCGAUUGGAGCUUCAGUCAUGGCUCUGACACCAUGUUAGAAGUGGACUUUAAGCCAAACUCAACUCCACAAAACUGGCUUGUAGGGUGAGAUUU